GACGAACGCUGGCGGCGUGCUUAACACAUGCAAGUCGAACGGAAAGGCCCUGCUUUUGUGGGGUGCUCGAGUGGCGAACGGGUGAGUAACACGUGAGUAACCUGCCCCUGACUUUGGGAUAACUUCAGGAAACUGGGGCUAAUACCGGAUAGGAGCUCCUGCUGCAUGGUGGGGGUUGGAAAGUUUCGGCGGUUGGGGAUGGACUCGCGGCUUAUCAGCUUGUUGGUGGGGUAGUGGCUUACCAAGGCUGUGACGGAUAGCCGGCCUGAGAGGGUGACCGGCCACAUUGGGACUGAGAUACGGCCCAGACUCCUACGGGAGGCAGCAGUGGGGAAUAUUGCACAAUGGGCGGAAGCCUGAUGCAGCGACGCCGCGUGCGGGAUGACGGCCUUCGGGUUGUAAACCGAUUUCGCCUGUGACGAAGCGUGAGUGACGGUAAUGGGUAAAGAAGCACCGGCUAACUACGUG
rnacentral:rRNA from 1 species